ACGUGUUUUUUCUUAACCUUAGCGAUAUCUUCAUGGACUUUUUAUGAAAAUUCAUGUAACGUUUCACACUGUGACAAGAAUGGCCAUGAGUAUAUAUACUGAUAUUUAUGCAUGCAGCUUUCAUAUUACGCAUCGUAUGUGUGUUUUACACUUGACUGAACCUAAGUACACAGUGUAAAGUUAUAUUUCCUAGUGGCCUUUACGUAAUCCCACGACGGAGUUAUUUCCCUUCGUAUUCAGGGCAAUAUUGUAAACUGGUUCCACUGUUGGCACAUGACGCAAGCUUAGCGCGAUUUAGCUAGCUGAGGUAGACAUGAACCCAGUCCUUGAUAAGUGCGUUAAACAGCGACGACCCACAAUAUCACUUCACUUUACAUUUAAUGUUCGAGUCUCAAACUAUCUUGUGGCCAUGACAACCACCAUUAUGAUCAGUCUGCUCCUUGUCGUGUGCUGCAGUGUCGUCUGCUCGGCUUGGCGGUUCAAGAGAGACUAUAAGAACUGUUUCUGCACGGCGGUCAACAUCCACAACUAUGGCGACGUUAUAAAGGACUUCGGCUCCAUACAAUAGUGCCGUGCCUUCCCGGCAUGCAGCUGUCACAGAACGGAAAUGAUGACGUGUGGGACACAGUGUGACAGGAAGGUGAAAGAGUGGGUGUGUCAUCACGAGUGUGGAGGGAAUCGGGCCGUCGGGGGUGUCCAGAUACGUGCCUCCUUCACAGCCAGUACUUGCCAUUCCAACACGUCAUAUUUAGUUUAUGAAUGUGGUUCCCAAGUCAACUGUGCAUUUUGAUAUUGGUGAUGACGACGUUGGAAGUACAUGUUUUACAUUUAACAAACACUUUAUUUUUAUGUAUGUUCCGGGGCGGUCGGGUAGCCUAGUGGUUAAAGCGUUCGCUCGUCACGCCGAAGACCCGGUUUGAAUCCCGACAUGGGUACAAUGUGUGAAGCCCAUUUCUGGUGUCCCCCGCCGUGAUAUUGCUGGAAUAUUGCUAAAAGCGGCGUAAAACCAUACUCACUCACUCACUCACUUAUGUAUGUUCCAAAGCGGUCAACAGCAUGUUCCUCUUAACGUUAGGUUAAAAUACUAUCUACAUCAAAAUAUAAUUGUCAUUCUGUUGUCUAAACUUGCCAGUAUUUUGUCUCGAAUAAAUAUGGUCUGUCUAACUUUGAUCCAGAGGAUCUGCACGGCGUGAAGAAGUU